AAAGAGGGUAAGGGCCCAGGAAGACUACCUGGUAGAUAGGCCGGAGGUGGAAGUGCAGUAAUGUAUGGAGCUGACCGGUACUAAUCGCCCGAGGGCUUGACCUA
rnacentral:rRNA from 1 species